GACGAACGCUGGCGGCGUGCCUAAUACAUGCAAGUUGAGCGCUGAAGGUUGGUACUUGUACCAACUGGAUGAGCAGCGGACGGGUGAGUAACGCGUGGGGAAUCUGCCUUUGAGCGGGGGACAACAUUUGGAAACGAAUGCUAAUACCGCAUAAAAACUUUAAACACAAGUUUUAAGUUUGAAAGAUGCAAUUGCAUCACUCAAAGAUGAUCCCGCGUUGUAUUAGCUAGUUGGUGAGGUAAAGGCUCACCAAGGCGAUGAUACAUAGCCGACCUGAGAGGGUGAUCCGCCACAUUGGGACUGAGACACGGCCCAAACUCCUAAGGGAGGGAGCAGUAGGGGAACUUCGGCCAUGGACGAAAGUCUGACCGAGCAAAGCCGCGUGAGUGAAGAAGGUUUUCGGAUCGUAAAACUCUGUUGGUAGAGAAGAACGUUGGUGAGAGUGGAAAGCUCAUCAAGUGACGGUAACUACUCAGAAAGGGACGGCUAACUACGUG
rnacentral:rRNA from 1 species